UACGUAGGGGGCAAGCGUUGUCCGGAUUUAUUGGGCGUAAAGAGCGUGUAGGCGGCUUGGUAGGUCCGCUGUGAAAACUCGAGGCUCAACCUCGAGAUGUCGGCGGAAACCACUUGGCUAGAGUCCGGAAGAGGAGAGUGGAAUUCCUGGUGUAGCGGUGAAAUGCGCAGAUAUCAGGAAGAACACCUAUGGCGAAGGCAGCUCUCUGGGACGGUACUGACGCUGAGGCGCGAAAGCCAGGGGAGCGAACGGG
rnacentral:rRNA from 1 species